ensembl:lncRNA
CUUCCUCGGUGCAGAGGCUGGCGAGAGAGCGGCGGGGGCGGGACUGGCAGCCCCAGCAGCCCCUCCUCGCCAAGCACGUCUCAUAUUUAUUGCCUCAUAAUUGAAGGCAGCCUGGAGACGUCCCCACUCCGGCCCCCGGCAAGACAGAUGGGGGCACCGUGACGGCUGGGGAUGGAGUCAGGGCACAGACUUCCUCACAGGUCUGCAGCCAUGGAGGCGGCACACAGCAGGGGAAGCAGCUAGUUGGCUGCUGCCCUGGCCCCAGGGGUCUGACCCAGGCCCGAGGUCUUGCUUCUGCCAUCCACUUCUGAUGAUCUUGGGUCAGAUUCUUUCUUCUCCAGGCCCAGGGUUUCAGGCUUCUGGGUUUUAUUACCAGGGAGCCCGCCCAGCAUACCACAUUCCACGCUGUGACAUGAGGUGAUGAGCCGGGGACUUGCACAGAAGUUUUGCAGAGACAGAGAGGAGCGUCUGCUGAGUAGGGCUUGUACUCAGUGAAGAGGGAUGGACAUAGCCUGCCCUGCAGGAGCACAGAGUCCAGAAAAAGGACCACAGGAGGAACAUGGUCAAAAUGGAAGCGUGUCAAUCUAACAGCUGCAGCAGCCUACUCAAGAUGCAGAAUCAAGGUGGUGUGACUGCAGCCACAGAAUUAAAAGAUGCUUGCUCCUUGGAAGGAAAGCUAUGACAAAGCUAGACAGCAUAUUAAAAAGCAGAGACAUCUCUUUGCCCACAAAGAUCUGUAUAGUCAAAGUUAUGGUUUUUCCAGUAGUCAUGUACGGGUGUGAGAGUUGGACCAUAAAGAGGGCUGAAUGCCAAAGAAUUGAUGCACUCGAAUUGUGGUGCUAGAGAAGACUCUUGAGAGUCCACUGGACUACAACAAGAUCAAACCAGUCAAUCCUAAAGGAAAUCAACCCUGAAUAUUCACUGGAAGGACUUAUGCUGAAGCUGAAGCUCCAAUAACUUUAGCCAUCUGAUGCAAAGACCCUGAUGCUGGGAAAGAUGGAAGGCAAAAAGAGAAGGGGGUGCAGAGGAUGAGAUGAUUAGACAGCAACACCAACUCAGUAGACAUGAGUUGGAGCAAACUCCAGGAGAUAGUGAAGGACCGGGAAGCCUGGCACGCUGCAGUCCAUGGGAUUGCAAAGAGCUGGACACAACUUACCAACUGAACAACAGCAACAACAUGUAUAUGUAUACCUGAUUCACUUUGCUGUACAGAGGAAACUAACACAAUAUUGUAAAUCAAUUAUAUGCCAAUAAAAAUUAAUUUAAAAAUCCUCA